rnacentral:misc_RNA from 1 species
UUUCCGUAGGUGAACCUGCGGAAGGAUCAUUACUGUAUAACCGAGGUGCGAGGGCUUUCUCUGACCCGAUAGGAGGUGCACGCCCGAGUGCCCUCACACACAGCCAUCUCACCCCUAUGUACAACACCUCUGCGGUCCCCCUUCUCCUUUUUCUGAGUGGGUCUUACGUUUUUUCACAAACCUGGUAUGUUGUUUCGAAUGUCUUUUUUGUUCUUGCCAUCUCGCAAUCAAAACAAUUUUCAACAACGGAACUCUUCGCUCUCUCAUCUAUGAACAACU